UUGACUUGGUAACGCAGCUAACGCGUGAAGUAGCCGCCUGGGGAGUACGGUCGCAAGAUUAAAACUCAAAGGAAUUGACGGGGACCCGCACAAGCGGUGGAUGAUGUGGAUUAAUUCGAUGCAACGCGAAAAACCUUACCUACCCUUGACAUGGAUGGAAUCCCGAAGAGAUUUGGAGUGCUCGAAAGAGAACCAUCACACAGGUGCUGCAUGGCUGUCGUCAGCUCGUGUCGUGAGAUGUUGGGUUAAGUCCCGCAACGAGCGCAACCCUUGUCAUUAGUUGCUACGAAAGGGCACUCUAAUGAGACUCCGGUGACAACCGGAGGAAGGUGGGGAUGACGUCAAGUCCUCAUGGCCCUUAUGGGUAGGGCUUCACACGUCAUACAAUGGUACAUACAGAGGGCCGCCAACCCGCGAGGGGGAGCUAAUCCCAGAAAGUGUAUCGUAGUCCGGAUUGGAGUCUGCAACUGCUCCAUGAAGUUGGAAUCGCUAAAUGCGAG
rnacentral:rRNA from 1 species